UGUAAGAAUAAAUGGUCGAACAGACCAAAUUUUUAAACUUCUUCAUUUAAAAAUAAUCUUAAUUCAACAUCGAGGUCGCAAUCUAUUUUGUCGAUAAGUUCUCUAAAAAAUUAUUACGCUGUUAUCCCUUAAGUAACUUAUUCUUUUUAUCAUAAAUUAUAGAUCAAAUCAUAAAUCAAUGAAAAAAAGUUUAAUAAAUCUUCCUAUCACCCCAAUAAAAUAUAAUAUAAAGCUUUAAAGGGUCUUCUCGUCCUUUAAAUAUAUUUAUGCUUUUUAACACAAAAAUUAAAUUCUAAAUCAAUAAAAUAUAGACAGUUAAUAUCUCAUCCAAUCAUUCAUACCAGCUUUCAAUUAAAAAACUAUUGAUUAUGCUACCUUUGCACAGUCAUAAUACUGCGGCCUUUUUCAAUGGGCAGAUUAGACUUUAAAUU
rnacentral:rRNA from 1 species